rnacentral:lncRNA from 1 species
CUGCUGUGUGGCCCUUCCUACACCACUCUGUCUAUACUACCGCAGUGCACAAGUGGACAUGCAGAGCGGGCGGCUUCUGCUUGGAGUCCUCAGGACCACGUGGUCUGGUUGGCUCUUGAGUGCACAUGCGUUAAGUGAUAGGUGGACAGAGCACGCAUCCCAGUUCCUCUGCUAGGACUCUUCACGGUUCACGGAGAGUGGGCUCGCCCUCUGGGCCAGUGUCCUCCAGGUUGGAGUUCUGAGAGCCUGCCUUCAGGUUCCUUCACCUGACCUUCCUGCGACCUUCUCCACAUGAUGACAGGGGCCUCUCCACAUGCUGACACAGGGGUGCCUGGAACAGGAAGGGCCACCCCCACCCCGCUCCUUCUGCACCUUCCUCCUCCUCCCCUCCAUCUUCCUCCUCCUCUCCUCCACCUUCCUCCUCCUCCUCUCCACCUUCCUCCUCCUCCUCUCCUCCACCUUCCUCCUCCUCCUCUCCUCCACCUUCCUCCUCCUCCUCCUCCUCCUCCCCUCCACCUUCCUCCUCCUCCUCCCCUCCACCUUCCUCCUCCUCCUCCCCUCCACCUUCCUCCUCCUCUCCUCCACCUUCCUCCUCCUUUUCUCCACCUUCUCUCCUCCUCCCUCCUUCCUUCCUUCCUUCCU